UACGUAGGGUGCGAGCGUUGUCCGGAAUUAUUGGGCGUAAAGAGCUCGUAGGCGGUUUGUCACGUCUGCUGUGAAAUCCCGAGGCUCAACCUCGGGCCUGCAGUGGGUACGGGCAGACUGGAGUGCGGUAGGGGAGAAUGGAAUUCCUGGUGUAGCGGUGGAAUGCGCAGAUAUCAGGAGGAACACCAACGGCGAAGGCAGCUCGCUGGGACGGUACUGACGCUGAGACGCGAAAGCGUGGGGAGCGAACAGG
rnacentral:rRNA from 1 species